UUAAUUUAUUUCGUAUAAAAAUGAAUACAUAUUUUUUGAAUAGAAGUAAGAAAUAUAAAAUUUAAAAUCAAAAGAAAGGUUGGAAAAAAAAGGAAAAUAUGCAAUUUAAUAAAAUAAUAAAAUGAAUUGGAGAAGAAAAAAAAUUUGGACUCAAAUGAGACAAAAAAGAAAACCAAAGAUGGGCUAUGUAGUGUUGUAAAAAAGGUGGGUCCGAUAAGAAUCUAUUAUAUAUGACUCUGUAAGUUGAAGAUAAAAGAAAAUCAGUCAUUAAGUAGUAGUAGAAUGUUUCCUUUGAGUUCAUUUGUCAUUUUCGAAAUAUAGUCGUUAUUAUCUGCAACGUUUUCGAUUCAGAGUCCCUGCUACCUUUUGUGUUCAUCUCCUUCCGAAUUCGAAAAUGUCUUCACCAGAACAUGUAUCUGACAAAAUCGAGUAUGAACUAGGAAGUUUGAUAUAAUGUAAGUGUGGUCCAUUGUUAACAUUGAAUCGAAUGUCACCAUAUACGUUGUCAGCACGACGACCUGAGUUCCCUAUCAAAGAAAGGAAAGUAGAAACCAUAUCAUAAACCAAACCAUUAACACUAAAAUGAAUGUUCCAAGCCGAAAGCUAAAACAUUGGAAUAAAGGGUGUCUUUUGGUGUGAUAACAAAGUCCAACUUGCAAAAGAGACAUGAAAAUGCACAUGAUAUACAAUCAAACAACUAUAUAUGUACCUGAUCAAAUGAUGUACAACAACAAAUCCUUGAACUAUGAUUUAACAUAACCAUUGUUACAUUCAAUAGUGGGGUGGAAAGUAUAAAAUUUCAAAAAAUAAUAUAUUAUAAAAUCGUAUUCUUCACGAAUCUAUACAAAUCUACAUCAGGCGGGUAAGUUUGUAGGAGGCAACAGAUGGUUGCCCUUAAACAACAAAACUUGAAAUCGGAAAAGCGUAUCAGAAAAAAAAAUCACAUCAUAAAACAAAUGGAGCAUGAAAAGAUCGAUAAACCAACUUCUUUGUCAACGACGAUCAUUUAGAAAUGCUCAUUAUUGUUGGAGAGAACCAACCAUCUAUGGUGUACUUUAAUAACAACCUUCCAUAGCUCUUUCAUGUAGGUGACGUCGUUGAUCUUCGGAAAUGAUAUGAUCAUGAAGGAUGGAAGGAAGAAAACGAAGAACGGACAAUGUUUGAGUUGAAUGGGUAUGAAAGGAAUGAAGCAAAAAAGGGAAGCAGGGGGAUGAGCGAUGGAAGCAGCAGAAAAUAUUCAAGA
rnacentral:lncRNA from 1 species